GACAGAGGGGGCAAGCGUUGUUCGGAUUCAUUGGGCGUAAAGGGUGUGUAGGUGGCGCCGUAAGUCGGGUGUGAAAUCUCGGGGCUUAACUCCGAAACUGCAUUCGAUACUGCGGUGCUUGAGGACUGGAGAGGAGACUGGAAUUCAUGGUGUAGCAGUGAAAUGCGUAGAGAUCAUGAGGAAGACCAGUGGCGAAGGCGGGUCUCUGGACAGUUCCUGACACUGAGACACGAAGGCCAGGGGAGCAAACGGG
rnacentral:rRNA from 1 species